rnacentral:rRNA from 1 species
CCUACGGUGGGCAGCAGUGAGGAAUAUUGGUCAAUGGCCGAGAGGCUGAACCAGCCAAGUCGCGUGAGGGAAGACGGCCCUACGGGUUGUAAACCUCUUUUGUCGGGGAGUAAAGCGAACCACGUGUGGUUCAUUGAGAGUACCCGAAGAAAAAGCAUCGGCUAACUCCGUGCCAGCAGCCGCGGUAAUACGGAGGAUGCGAGCGUUAUCCGGAUUUAUGGGGUUUAAAGGGUGCGCAGGAGGAGGUGAAAGUCAGCGGUCAAAUUUCGGGGCUCAACCCCGUACUGCCGUUGAAACUGCAUGCAUUGAGUGCGCUAGAGGUAUGCGGAAUGCGUGGUGUAGCGGUGAAAUGCAUAGAUAUCACGCAGAACUCCGAUUGCGAAGGCAGCAUACCGGCGCGCAACUGACGCUCAUGCACGAAAGCGUGGGUAUCGAACAGGAUUAGAUACCCCUGUAGUC